rnacentral:lncRNA from 1 species
AUGUACAGAAAGGAGGAGCACACGCCAUGCAUGUGCAGAGAGGAGGAGCACACGCCAUGCAUGUGCAGAGAGGAGGAGCACAUGCUCUGUGCAUGUGCAGAGAGGAGGAGCACACGCCAUGCAUGUGUAGAGAGGAGGAGCAUGCACCAUGCAUGUGUAGAGAGGAGGAGCACAUGCCAUGCAUGUGUAGAGAUGAGGAGCACGUGCCAUGCAUGUGUAGAGAGGAGGAGCACACGCCAUGCAUGUGUAGAGAGGAGGAGCACAUGCCAUGCAUGUGUAGAGAUGAGGAGCACGCGCCAUGCAUGUGUAGAGAGGAGGAGCACAUGCCAUGCAUGUGCAGAGAGGAGGAGCACACGCCAUGCAUGUGUAGAGAGGAGGAGCACACGCCAUGCAUGUGUAGAGAGGAGGAGCACACGCCAUGCAUGUGUAGAGAGGAGGAGCACACGCCAUGCAUGUGCAGAGAGGAGGAGCAUGCGCCAUGUAUGUGCAGAGAAGAGCACACGCCAUGCAUGUGCAGAGAGGAAGAGCAUGCGCCGUGCAUGUGUAGCGAGGAGGAGCACACGCCAUGCAUGUGCAGAGAGGAGGAGCAUGCUCCGCGCACGUGCAGAGAGGAAGAGUGCACGCCGUGCACAUGCAGAGGAGCGCCUGUGUGCACAUACAGAGAAGCCCACCCCACCGAGGCUGCCGCCUCCACACAGCAGAGCUCCCGUGGGCCCAGUGGUUGGUGGAAGGGCCUCUUUUUUUUUUUCCAGAGCUUCUUUACUUGACGUCAAAAGGAAAAAGCCAAGCAAAAGCAAGGCAGGAAAGCGCCUCAGGUCUUGUUGGAAGAUGGCUUCACUGAUGAUCAAAAACAUUGGCAGCUGGGAUUCCUUUUAACGUCUUUAAUUUUUAUCUAAUCUGCUCCAAAAUGACUGGAUGGUGUCCAAGCCCUUCACUGGAAACAAAUAAGCCUGCAAUCCAAUAGCGUGCUUAACAUGGAGAGAAAGUCACAGAAACCUGAAUGUGCUCGGAUGAAAGGCAAGCAUGGUAGCCAAAAGCGACACCUGCGAGUCCCACUCCUGGCUGUGGACGCGGACAGUGACAGUGCGACGGUGAGUCCCAGUCACCUGUCCAGUAGCCACCAUCAUAGCAGGGCACUUGUUCCCAACAGAGCCACAGAGGCUCACGGACACAGCAGUGAGGAGGAGACAAGGUGGGUGGAGCACAGCUGACUCCUGGAGCCGGGGAGCACCCGGGGGGAGCAGGGCUGGGGGCCCAGCGAGGGCAAAUUCUCACCCUGUGCAGCUAAACGUGCUUACACCCAGCAGGUGGCGGCCCCGGGAUGUGACACGAGCAGCCCCAGUCUGACUUUUCUCAUUUGUUUCAUGAGAAGCCCGGAAUCUGGGAUUUUAUGUGAGAUUGCUGAUUAUUUAACGUUUGUAAUGAAUAAAAGUUUUCAAAACGUGAGCUACA